rfam:Myotis davidii contig141847, whole genome shotgun sequence.
GGCGAUUCUCGGUGACGCACCCCAGGAUUGGGCUCCCUCCUCUCUGGUUCUGGGUACAUCAUCCGAGAACUGCA